rnacentral:rRNA from 1 species
ACUUAGUGGCGGAUGGGUGAGUAACGCGUGGAUAACCUGCCUUACACUGGGGGAUAACACUUAGAAAUAGGUGCUAAUACCGCAUAAGCGCACGGAGCCGCAUGGCUCAGUGUGAAAAACUCCGGUGGUGUAAGAUGGAUCCGCGUCUGAUUAGCUGGUUGGCGGGGUAGAAGCCCACCAAGGCGACGAUCAGUAGCCGGCCUGAGAGGGUGACCGGCCACAUUGGGACUGAGACACGGCCCAAACUCCUACGGGAGGCAGCAGUGGGGAAUAUUGCACAAUGGGGGAAACCCUGAUGCAGCAACGCCGCGUGAGUGAAGAAGUCAUUCGUGAUGUAAAGCUCUAUCAGCAGGGAAGAAAAUGACGGUACCUGAGUAAGAAGCCCCGGCUAACUACGUGCCAGCAGCCGCGGUAAUACGUAGGGGGCAAGCGUUAUCCGGAUUUACUGGGUGUAAAGGGAGCGUAGACGGCAAUGCAAGCCAGAUGUGAAAACCCGCAGCUCAACUGGGGGAGUGCAUUUGGAACUGUGUAGCUGGAGUGCAGGAGAGGUAAGCGGAAUUCCUGGUGUAGCGGUGAAAUGCGUAGAUAUCAGGAGGAACACCAGUGGCGAAGGCGGCUUACUGGACUGUAACUGACGUUGAGGCUCGAAAGCGUGGGGAGCAAACAGGAUUAGAUACCCUGGUAGUCCACGCUGUAAACGAUGAAUACUAGGUGUCGGGGGUUUACGGACGCCCGGUGCCGCAGCAA